GCGGACAGGAAAGAAUAACUGUUGGCAGAAACAUUCUUUCCUAGUCCACCCAUUCCAAUGGUUUCCUGUUAUUCCUCCGUCUACUUUUGGUUGAUUGCUCCGAUCUGCCGGAUGUUAUCUGCGGGUUCCACAAAUGGGUUAUUCGUCUGUGAUCUGAGGAAGGGUGCAAAAGUAAUGAUUCAUCCAUUUCAUUUCCGAAAUAUAUAAUUUCUGUUGUUUAUUUUAAGUUUUUGAAGAUC